UACGAAGGGGGCUAGCGUUGCUCGGAAUCACUGGGCGUAAAGGGCGCGUAGGCGGCCGAUUAAGUCGGGGGUGAAAGCCUGUGGCUCAACCACAGAAUUGCCUUUCGAUACUGGUUGGCUUGAGACCGGAAGAGGACAGCGGAACUGCGAGUGUAGAGGUGAAAUUCGUAGAUAUUCGCAAGAACACCAGUGGCGAAGGCGGCUGUCUGGUCCGGUUCUGACGGCUGAGGCGCGACAGCGUGGGGAGCAAACAGG
rnacentral:rRNA from 1 species